rnacentral:rRNA from 1 species
UGGGGAAUAUUGCGCAAUGGGGGGAACCCUGACGCAGCCAUGCCGCGUGAAUGAAGAAGGCCUUAGGGUUGUAAAGUUCUUUCGGUAUUGAGGAAGGUUGAUGUGUUAAUAGCACAUCAAAUUGACGUUAAAUACAGAAGAAGCACCGGCUAACUCCGUGCCAGCAGCCGCGGUAAUACGGAAGGUGCGAGCGUUAAUCGGAAUAACUGGGCGUAAAGGGCACGCAGGCGGUUAUUUAAGUGAGGUGUGAAAGCCCCGGGCUUAACCUGGGAAUUGCAUUUCAGACUGGGUAACUAGAGUACUUUAGGGAGGGGUAGAAUUCCACGUGUAGCGGUGAAAUGCGUAGAGAUGUGGAGGAAUACCGAAGGCGAAGGCAGCCCCUUGGGAAUGUACUGACGCUCAUGUGCGAAAGCGUGGGGAGCAAACAGGAUUAGAUACCCUGGUAGUCCACGCUGUAAACGCUGUCGAUUUGGGGGUUGGGGUUUAACUCUGGCGCCCGUAGCUAACGUGAUAAAUCGACCGCCUGGGGAGUACGGCCGCAAGGUUA